rnacentral:lncRNA from 1 species
UUUUUACAGUUGUUGUGGAAGAUAAAGCCCAGCCUGACAUAUGCUCUUUCAAAGGAAGUUCUCAGGAAUAUCCUGUAUAUGGCACCAGACCUCAGACAAUUCAAGGCCUCUUUCUUGAUCCAGGAGAGAAUCAACUCUGAUAAGAAACAUCUACAAUCUAUUCUCUCUGAAGCCUGCUACCUGGAGGCUUAUAUUGUGUAAUGGGAACCUCGGUUCUCAUUUAAGGGGAACAAUUAAGGGGUCUCCACAACCCCUUAUCUUAACCCAGACAUUCCCUUCUAUUGAUUCUAGAUCUUUAGACAAUAACUUAACCUCUUUCUACCAAUUGCCAAUCAGAAAGUCUUUGAAUCCACCUGUGACCUGAAAACCCCACCUUGCUUCGAGUUGUCCUGCCUUUCCAGACCAAAUCAGCGUACAUCCUACAUGUAUUGAUUGAUGUCGUAUGUUUUCCUAAAAUGUUUAAAACCAAGCUGUAGCCCAACCACCUUGGGCACAUAUCCUCAGGAUCUCCUGAGGGCUGUGUCACAGGCCAUUGGUCACUCAUAUUAAGGGAGGAGACCACCCUUCAUAUUGUCUUAUGCCCAAUUUCUGGCUCCAAAGAAAGAAGUAAAAACUAAAAGGCAGGAAUGAAAUCCACAAGCAGACAGCCUGGCGCCACACCCUGGGCCUGGUAGUUAAAGAUCGACCCCUGACCUAAUCGGUUAUGUUAUCUAUAGAUUACAGACAUUAUAUAGAAAAGCACUGUGAAAAUCCCUGUCCUGUUCUGAUUACCAGUGCAUGCAGCCCCCAGUCAUGUACCCCCUGCUUGCUCAAUUGAUCAUGACCCUCUCACGUGGACCCCUUUAGAGUUGUGAGCCCUUAAAAGGGACAGGAAUUGCUCACUCGGAGAGCUCAGUUGUUGGAGACAUGAGUCUUGCCAAAGCUCCCGGCCUAAUAAAGCCCUUCCUUCUUUAACUCGGUGUCUGAGGGGUUUCGUCUGCAGCUUGUCCUGCUGUAAUAUUUGG